rnacentral:ncRNA from 1 species
AUCCGCGAAGAGGCGGAUAUAAACAAAUAAGACAAGAAGACCCUAUGUAUGGAGCUUUAAUGUAUUAAUGCAAAUAAAAACUUAAGCCUACAGGCCCUAGCCUACUAUCCCUGCAUUAAAAUUUUUGGUUGGGAUGACCUCAGAGCAUAAUUCAACCUCCGAGCAACCUAAACUAAGACUGCACUAGUCUAAGCAAGUUAAUAUAUAUUGACUCGAUAAUUUGAUCAACGGAAUAAGUUACCCUAGGGAUAACAGCGCAAUCCUAUUCUAGAGUCCAUGUCAACAAUAGGGUUUACGAUCUCCAUGUUGGAUCAGGACAUCCUAAUGGUGUCGCCGCUAUUAGGGGUUUACGUUGUUUCAGCUUAUUUUCGUUCAAACCUGUUGUUGCCCUUCACUUAUAAUAGAAACAUAAGAGGAGGGGACAUUACUAGCAGAAUUGUAUUCAGAUGACAUUAAAGGUUUGUAAACAACACCAAAGUUUCACUUUUAUGCAAUGGACUAAAGCCAGAAGUCUAAGAGUUGAACAAUCGUUUGUUCGACGAUUAAAGUCCUACGUGAUCUGAGUUCAGUCCGGAGUAAUCCAGGUCGGUUUCUAUCUAUUU